rnacentral:tRNA from 2 species
UCCUGGUUAGCUCAGUUGCUAGAGCGCUCCACUGGAAAUAGAGAGGCCCCUGGUUCGAUUCCAAGACAGGCAG